rnacentral:rRNA from 1 species
UGAGGAAUAUUGGGCAAUGCCCGCAAGGGUGACCCAGCAACGCCGCGUGGAGGAUGAAUGUCGUAAGAUUGUAAACUCCUGUUAGAGGGGAAGAAUAGUACCGGUUGGACCGGUAUAUGACUGUACCCUCAGAGAAAGCCCCGGCUAACUACGUGCCAGCAGCCGCGGUAAUACGUAGGGGGCAAGCGUUGUCCGGAUUUACUGGGUGUAAAGGGCGCGCAGGCGGGAUAAAAAGUCAGUGGUGAAAUCCUACAGCUUAACUGUAGAACUGCCUUUGAUACUUUUAUUCUUGAGUUCGGGAGAGAGAGACGGAAUUCCAGGUGUAGUGGUGAAAUACGUAGAUAUCUGGAAGAACACCAGUUGCGAAGGCGGUCUCUUGGUCCGACACUGACG